CACGUAGGGCGCAAGCGUUGUCCGGAAUUAUUGGGCGUAAAGAGCGCGUAGGCGGUCCGAUAAGUCGGCUGUGAAAGUCAGGGGCUCAACCCUUGGAAGCCGGCCGAUACUGUCGGACUAGAGUCCGGAAGAGGCGAGUGGAAUUCCCGGUGUAGCGGUGAAAUGCGCAGAUAUCGGGAGGAACACCAAUGGCGAAGGCAGCUCGCUGGGACGGUACUGACGCUGAGGCGCGAAAGCGUGGGGAGCAAACAGGG
rnacentral:rRNA from 1 species